UAGAUCCAUGGAGACCACUGGUGGCACAUAAAUCAAAAAUGAUGACUAUAGGUUUGGAAGUCUGAGGUCCAA
ensembl:snoRNA